rnacentral:sRNA from 1 species
UUCCUCUUUCCCGGGUUGUUCAGCAUGCAUACCGAGUACUAGUAUUCGCCAACUGACACGGAGGAUUGGAUUGCAGGGGGGUUUCACAUUUUUCACAUGAUAAUAAGAGCAUAAAAAAGACAUCAUUCUGACACCCUUGUAUUAUUGGAUAUACUUGUCCUCAUGCGCCUCCACUGUGGUAGCUGCAGUAUAUAUAUAUGCAUGACCUCGUCUGAUUUUAUUUUAAAUGCCACUUGCUGGGAGUUUGAGAAUUAGUAAAGAAGAGAGAAGUAAAAGAGAAGAAAUUCGAAGUUAUUUUGGUUU